AGCAGCCGCGGUAAUUCCAGCUCCAAUAGCGUAUAUUAAAGUUGUUGCAGUUAAAAAGCUYGUAGUUGAAUUUCGGGAUUCUACCGUCGGUCGGGCUAACAAGUCUGUACUGGUGUGUARAAUUUCUACCUUCUGGGGAACUAUCAUGUUAUUAAUUUAGCGUGGUGGGAAACCAGGACCUUUACCUUGAAAAAAUUAGAGUGUUCAAAGCAGGCUUACGUCUGAAUACAUUAGCAUGGAAUAAUAGAAUAGGACGGUGGUCCUGUUUUGUUGGUUUCUGAAUCACCGUAAUGAUUAAUAGGGAUAGUUGGGGGCAUUAGUAUUCAAUUGUCAGAGGUGAAAUUYUUGGAUUUAUUGAAGACUAACUUCUGCGAAAGCAUUUGCCAAGGAUGUUUUCAUUAAUCAAGAACGAAAGUUAGGGGAUCGAAGACGAUCAGAUACCGUCGUAGUCUUAACCAUAAACUAUGCCGACUAGGGAUCGGACGAUGUUAAAUUUUAUUGACUCG
rnacentral:rRNA from 1 species